rnacentral:lncRNA from 1 species
UCAAACGAGGUGUGGGAAUUAUAACAGUAAAAAGUUAAGAGAUCGGGAAUUUGUAAACAUCUGCAAGGAUUCUGGCUCAUAUUGCUUCUCAAGUAUCCUAAUUCUCAUACUGUUAUUAAAAACAAACCCACAAAAAAACGAAAGAGAAAUUGGCCAGGGCUGGGAUUACAGGCAUGAGCCACUGCGCCUGGCUUCUUCUCUUCCUAAAAGGACACCAGUCAUAGUGGAUCAGGGCCGACCCUAAUCAAAUAUGACCUCAUGUUAACUUGAUUACAUUUGCAAAAACUUUAUUUCCAAAUAAGGCCACAUUCACAGGUGUUGGGGGUUAGGUUUCAGCGUGUCUUUUGGGGGGACACAAGUCAAUCCCUAACAAUGCCCAGCCAAAGCAGUGUGCAGAGCAGAAGCUUGCUUGGCUCCUGUGAGGCCACACCCAGUGUGCUGAGUGUUGGGAUUGAAAGGCCAGACUCCAUCACCUCAGGUAGGGCCC